rnacentral:misc_RNA from 1 species
AACGCACAUUGCGCCCGCCAGCACUCUGGCGGGCAUGCCUGUCCGAGCGUCAUCGUCAACCCUCGAGCCCCUGCGGCCCGGUGUUGGGGACCGGCCCCGGCCGCCCCCGAAAUGCAGUGGCGACGCCACCGCGGCCCCCCUGCGCAGUAAGACGACUCGCAACGGGAGCGCGGCGGCCACACGCCCGAAGCCCUCCAAAAGUUGACCUCGGAUCAGGUAGGGAUACCCGCUGAACUUAA